ACUGGGAAGUAGCUGAAAGCUGCAAGUGGAGGUGACAAAAUUCCUCUACAAGAAGAAAUCGACACCAUGCCGUUACCACUAAAUUCCAAGGAAUUUGUAAAAAUUCCAAAAGCAGUUUGCACAAAAUGUAACAAUGAAAUCCCCUUGCAAGUCCUGGCAGUUCACAUCUACUCGUGCAGUGGUACAAAUAAUUACAGUGAUUCCAGCAGUGGUGGCAUAAUGGCCUGUCAGCCUGAAGUCCUUUUUGUGUCAGAGGCAAUGAACCCCCAGGAAAUGCCAUACAAAGAGGUAAAACUUAGCUGUCAAAUGAAAAGCCAGUGAGGGUGUGUAAAUUCACUUGAAAUUCAAAACCUAAACUGUUAUCCAAUAACUGUUACGAACUUGUAAUCACAUUUUUGUUUAUUAAUUAGACAGAGGUUGAGUGCCCAAUUUGCCAGAAGAGCCUAGACCUUCUUGAGAUGCAUGCCAGUAACUGGAAUAUGAAGGCAGAUGGGAACAAAGGACCCAACUUGAUGCAAAG